rnacentral:rRNA from 1 species
UGGGGAAUAUUGGACAAUGGGCGAAAGCCUGAUCCAGCCAUGCCGCGUGUGUGAAGAAGGUCUUCGGAUUGUAAAGCACUUUAAGUUGGGAGGAAGGGCAGUAAGCGAAUACCUUGCUGUUUUUACGCUACCGACAGAAUAAGCACCGGCUAACUCUGUGCCAGCAGCCGCGGUAAUACAGAGGGUGCAAGCGUUAAUCGGAAUUACUGGGCGUAAAGCGCGCGUAGGUGGUUCGUUAAGUUGAAUGUGAAAGCCCCGGGCUCAACCUGGGAAAUGCAUCCAAAACUGGCGAGCUAGAGUAGGGCAGAGGGUGGUGGAAUUUCAUGUGUAGCGGUGAAAUGCGUAGAUAUAGGAAGGAACACCAGUGGCGAAGGCGACCACCUGGGCUCAUACUGACACUGAGGUGCGAAAGCGUGGGGAGCAAACAGG